GGGAUUUAUUUGUGUGAUGAGCAUAGAUCUUUGUUUCUGAGUUAUGGGUGUGUUCUAACUCUUGGGUGUUUUCUAUGUAUUUGUAUAUUAUAUAUAUCGUUGUCUAAGUACCCACAACACAAGCCUUCUUGAGCUUACUGUGGGACUUAGUCAAUCUGUGUAAGAAUGUCCUAUAAUAUUUAUUUAUUUAAUU